UACGGAGGGUGCAAGCGUUAUCCGGAUUCACUGGGUUUAAAGGGUGCGUAGGCGGGUUAUUAAGUCAGUGGUGAAAGCCUACAGCUUAACUGUAGAAUUGCCAUUGAUACUGAUAAUCUUGAGUAUGAUUGAGGUGGGCGGAAUGUGUCAUGUAGCGGUGAAAUGCUUAGAUAUGACACAGAACACCGAUUGCGAAGGCAGCUCACUAAGUCAUAACUGACGCUGAUGCACGAAAGCGUGGGGAGCAAACAGG
rnacentral:rRNA from 1 species